GCCAGUUUAGCUCAGUGGAUAGAGUGUUGGCCUGUGGACCCAAGGGUCCUGGUUUCGAUUCCAGUCAAGGGCA
rfam:Myotis brandtii contig243800, whole genome shotgun sequence.